rnacentral:rRNA from 1 species
UACGGGAGGCAGCAGUGGGGAAUAUUGCACAAUGGGCGCAAGCCUGAUGCAGCCAUGCCGCGUGUAUGAAGAAGGCCUUCGGGUUGUAAAGUACUUUCAGUCGUGAGGAAGGUGUUAAGGUUAAUAACCUUAGCAAUUGACGUUAGCGACAGAAGAAGCACCGGCUAACUCCGUGCCAGCAGCCGCGGUAAUACGGAGGGUGCGAGCGUUAAUCGGAAUUACUGGGCGUAAAGGGCACGCAGGCGGUUAAUUAAGUUGGAUGUGAAAUCCCCGGGCUUAACCUGGGAAUGGCAUUCAAGACUGGUUAGCUAGAGUCUUGUAGAGGGGGUAGAAUUCCAUGUGUAGCGGUGAAAUGCGUAGAGAUGUGGAGGAAUACCGGUGGCGAAGGCGGCCCCUGGACAAAGACUGACGCUCAUGUGCGAAAGCGUGGGGAGCAAACAGGGAUAGAUACC